ensembl:snoRNA Snord61 small nucleolar RNA, C/D box 61
GCUGUGAUGAAUUUGAAUCCACUGAUCAUCUGACAUGAUAAAUGCAUUUUGUCCUCUAAGAAGUUCUGAGCUU